rnacentral:rRNA from 1 species
UCGGGAAUUUUGGGCAAUGGGCGAAAGCCUGACCCAGCAACGCCGCGUGAGGGAUGAAGUAUUUCGGUAUGUAAACCUCGAAAGAAUGGGAAGAAUAAAUGACGGUACCAUUUAUAAGCUCCGGCUAACUACGUGCCAGCAGCCGCGGUGAUACGUAGGGAGCAAGCGUUGUUCGGAUUUACUGGGCGUAAAGGGCGCGUAGGCGGCGCGGUAAGUCACUUGUGAAAUCUCUGAGCUUAACUCAGAACGGCCAAGUGAUACUGCUGUGCUAGAGUGCGGAAGAGGCAACCGGAAUUCUUGGUGUAGCGGUGAAAUGCGUAGAUAUCAAGAGGAACACCUGAGGCGAAGGCGGGUUGCUGGGCCGACACUGACGCUGAUGCGCGAAAGCCAGGGGAGCAAACG